CCUCAGUCAUGAUUAGAUGAGCAGAGUGAGGAAAUACUAAACCUAAUGCGCCGUCUGCUCUCUCAGUUGGACAGAAAGAUCGCAACCCCUCGAGCUUUUGGUUGUGUUUCAUGGUUAAUUGGGGAGGCCGGGGAGUGACAUCAGAGAGCCCCUCCUCCCAGCACAAAGGGAGCGAAUGAACCAAUCAAAAGGGAGACCGCUCAGAUCCCAGUGCACAUGCGGUGUACUGCCCCCGGAAUCACACACAGCUGCCACUGAAUUUCAGUUUGAAAUGAUCAUCGGCGCAGAGGACCGGCAGUGGUGCAGGUCAAGACUACCUAAAGAUGCUGGGGAUAUUGUCUGGAGGGGUCAGAACAUCUGGCAAAACCUGAAAGGAGCAUGUACUCAUGGUUUGAAUGCCUGCCCCCAUCUGCACUGUUUCUCCUGGAAGUUCCAAACUUCAAUACCAUCGCCGACAAGGCUAAUUCAUCUCUGCAAGCCUGUCUCAUUGUAGAAGUCAAUUCUACUGGAACCAUGAAUUAUCCAGCAUCAGCUCAGCCAGCCGACCUCUGUGAAGGAAUUCACCACUGAGCUUUUGAUUCUGGACUCAUGGGAAACAAUAAUACUUUGCUCUGUGGUGUUUGCCCUGUAAAUUAAUCUUUCUCUAUCCCUCAUUUAUAGUAUGAAUGCACAGGGAGCUACAUAGCAACACCCCCUCCCACGUUUUGAGUGUGUGCAAAUAAAUUAAUGCUCUGA